AUUUAUUUUGUUUCUCUUCUAUUUUUUUAAUUUAUUUCAUUUUAAACAUAGUAAAAACACGCCACGAUCUUAGUGCUAUUUGUAUCUGUAGAUUAGAUGCGCGAAGUGCCUCUGGGAGGUUAGGCCGCAGUCCCUAGUUAAUUAUAUAAUUAGGGAGGCACAUUGAACUAUUAAGAUUGUAUAGAUUAAAUAAGUCAUGUAAUCAAUCUUGAUGGUGUUCUCAUCUUGAUAUGAUUAUCUCUGACUGUCUGUUGUUGCCCCCCUCACGGCCUGAGGGCUGAUUGUACUCCCUACCUAUCUAACUCUGUGACAAGUUAAAAAGUAAUAUAAAGUAUCUAUACUAUCCAGCAUUUAUCUUGCUUUAUCAUUACUAUCCACUAGCGUCAUCAUCCAACACUGCUAUGAUCAUAAAUGUAUCUUCAUCGCGUAAAAGUAAAGGAUCAAUGGAGUCCAUUAAAAUUACGAAAACCUAUGGAAAGUAGGUGUUGUGACGAAGCCUUGCUACUUACAAGAAGAAAUCCCAGCAGAAACCGUAACACAACGAUAGCAGCGAGAUGUAUUUUGGCUGAAAGUGGAGUCAAGAGCGUGAUGAAAGAUGAAAAGAGCAUUGAGUAGCCGAACACCUUCCGUGCUCCAAUUACUUCUGAAAGUCGACCACCUAAGAGUUCCGUUAAAAUAUAUCCCCAGUAAAAGCUGCCGAUGACAUAAUUCUGUUCAUAUUCAUUCCAGUCAAACUGCUGCGUGCUUAGCUGAUAAAAACACACAAAAUAAAAAGAAAAAAUUGCAUAAAAUAAAAUAAAGACUAUGAUCAAAAGGU